rfam:Dipodomys ordii contig_58257, whole genome shotgun sequence.
GGUGGCUCAGCGGUAGAGCACUUGCCUUGCAUGCAUGAGGCCCUGGGUUCAAUUCCUCAGCACCA